AAUAGAUACCCGGGUAGUCCACGCCGUAAACGAUGAGUACUAAGUGUUAGGGGGUUCCGCCCCUCAGUGCUGCAGCUAACGCAUUAAGCACUCCGCCUGGGGAGUACGGUCGCAAGACUGAAACUCAAAGGAAUUGACGGGGGCCCGCACAGGCGGUGGAGCAUGUGGUUUAACUCGAAGCAACGCGAAGAACCUUACCAGGUCUUGACAUCCCGGUGACCACUAUGGAGACAUAGUUUCCCCUUCGGGGGCAACGGUGACAGGUGGUGCAUGGUUGUCGUCAGCUCGUGUCGUGAGAUGUUGGGUUAAGUCCCGCAACGAGCGCAACCCUUAUUCUUAGUUGCCAUCAUUCAGUUGGGCACUCUAAGGAGACUGCCGGCUAAAAGUCGGAGGAAGGUGGGGAUGACGUCAAAUCAUCAUGCCCCUUAUGACCUGGGCUACACACGUGCUACAAUGGACGGUACAAACGGUUGUCGAGGUCGCGAGACGGAGCGUAAUCCGAGAAAACCGUUACUCAGUUCGGAUUGUCAGGCUGCAGCUCG
rnacentral:rRNA from 1 species